rnacentral:tRNA from 1 species
GACUCCGUAGCUCAGAGGUUAGAGCAUGGCAUAGUUAAUGUCAAGAUUGCGAGUUCGAUUCUCGCAGGAGUCG